UUUGGUCAGAAUGUUUAUCUUGAUGAAAUCUGGGUUGGGAUUGUAUUUGGGUCAUCUGGGGUCAAAAACUAGGUCAAAAACUAGGUCAAAUAAUAGAAAAACCUUGUGUAGACAAUAGAGGUCACAGUUUUCAUCCAAUCUUUAUGAAAUUUGGUCAGAAUGUUAAUCUUGAUGAAAUCUGGGUUGGGAUUGUAUUUGGGUCAUCUGGGGUCAAAAACUAGGUCACUAGGUAAAAAACUAGGUCAAAUAAUAGAAAAACCUUGUGUAGACAGUAGAGGUCACAGUUUUCAUCCAAUCUUUAUGAAAUUUGGUAAGAAUGUUUAUCUUGAUGAAAUCUGGGUUGGGAUUGUAUUUGGGUCAUCUGGGGUCAAAAACUAGGUCACUAGAUCAAAUACUAAGUCACUAGGUCAAAAACAAGGUCACUUGGUCAAAUAAUAGAGAAACCUUGUAUAGACAAUAGAGGUCACAGUUUUCAUCCAAUCUUUAUGAAAUUUGGUCAGAAUGUUUAUCUUGAUGAAAUCUGGGUUGGGAUUGUAUUUGGGUUUUCUGGGGUCAAAAACUAGGUCACUAGGUCAAAUAAUAGAAAUACCUUGUGUAGACAUUAGAGGUCACAGUUUUCAUCCAAUCUUUAUAAAAUUUGAUCAGAAUGUUUAUCUUGAUGAAAUCUGGGUUGGGAUUGUAUUUGGGUCACUUGGGGUCAAACACUAGGUCACUAGGUCAAAUGAUAGAUAAACCUUGUGUAGACAAUAGAGGUCACAGUUUUCAUCCAAUCUUUAUGAAAUUUGGUCAGAAUGUUUAUCUUGAUAAAAUCUGGGUUGGGAUUGUAUUUGGUUAGUCAGGUGAGCGAUUCAGGGCCAUUAUGGCCCUCUUGUUUAAGACUGUGGUUAAUGCAUAUAAGGACAAAUCCAGGAACAUAUUGCCAAUGUUCUCAAACUGGAAUGGUGAUCAUUCCUUUAAUAAAACUGAAUAUACCUUUAUUUGUUCACAUUGUGUGAAGUCAAUAUUCUGCUGACUACCACAGUGAACCUUUUGGUAGCUUUAUAGUCCCUUUUC